UACAGUAUUGAUUUCUUUAUAAGACACGUUUUCUUUCAUCUGCUGAGCUAGCACAACACUGAUAUCCAUAAAAAACAUACCAGCUUAGGUUUUCUGGCAGCAUGUGUCUCUGAGCUUUGUGUUCUUAAUUCGUCCUAGCUAGUUACUCAGGUUCAAGUUUAUUUUCUAUUCUGUAUCAUCCAAAAUACAUCUUCCGAUCACUAUUAUAAACAAAAAUUCAUUUUUUAGGUUCAUUCAAUAAAUGAUGUUGUGGUUUAUUAUAUAGACUACAUAUAUCAUUUAUUGAAUGGAUCUACAAAAUUGAUUUUUGCUUAUAAUAGUGACCAGAUGGUGUAUAGUUUUAGUAAAUAAAUAUAUAACCAUAAUAACUUUUUUUGUUAUUUUUCAAAAUAUUUUGGUAUGAUUACCGUGACAAUUCUAUAUUUGGUAUGGCUAUGUGUUUUACAAAGUUAGUGUUUUUUGUCUUCAUUCCAAAAAAAAAAAAGUUAGUGUUUUCUUUACUUGAUGUUUCAUGCCAGCAAUUUUCCUUUAUAUAUCUAAUAAUAUGUUGAAACUAAUAUACCUUCGUGUCAUCAUUCUGUUAGUAGUUCAGGUCUUCUCAUUUUUCUGGUGUCUUAAAAUUUAUUUGAAAAUAUUAUUGGUCUUGCUAGUUGCUACAAUUAAUUACAUUAAAUAAAAUAAAAUAAAAAAAGGUUGUAUUCUUUUGAAAACUAUAUUCUGAUUUUCUUUCAUUCAGGUUGAUGUAUAGGACAAACCAAAUUCCAUAUUGUUGUGUACAAUUUCCUUCUGAUCAAUAGACUCAUAAAUAUAAUGGACCUUGGUUUAAUUAUUAUCAUAUCUCUACCAGAAAUUAAAUAAUAAUAAUACUGAUCAAACACAGCAGUACUUCCCCUCAUCAACAAGAGCAGAUUGUUAAAGUGUGAGAUUGGGAGAGAAAGAGAGUGAAGGGGCUUCCUUCAGCCCAUGCAUAUAUUUGGGAUCUAUAUGAGUACUCAUUCAUUCAUCAGUUAAUACAAUAUAUGAAUGAAGUGGAAGAUAUAUGUUUUGCAUUGAUCCCUAUGUAUAUGUGCUUGGACUGAAGGGGAGCUCCUUCUUUCUCUGUUGUCUCCAUUACUAUGUAUAUAUGUCGUCUCAAUCAACUCAUAUAAAUUCAUCAAAUAUCCCUCAGGUUCUUUUGUAAGUAGCAUUCACGCACGGGUUCCUUGACCAGGGCAGGACCUCAAUGGACGACAAAAUUCUCGAUCAAGAGUUUUGUAGUUGUUGCAUUUAUUAUAUUGCUGGAUUCAAACUCAACACAUCAAGUGAAAUUAGAAAAGAUCCAAAAAUCUCAUUCUAGGGUUCUUUGGUCCAUUAAUAAUUUGCAUAUUAUCGUCUUUAAUUACAUUUAAGAAUCUAUACAUAAAAAAUUAUUAAUCAAAAUAAGACUAUUUAAUAUACAUUGUGACUAUAGACUGCAAAUAAGAUUUGAAUAAUUUCAA